rnacentral:tRNA from 1 species
GGAGAGAUGGCAGAGUGGUCGAAUGCGGCGGGCUUGAAAACCGUUGUACCGAAAGGUACCGGGGGUUCGAAUCCCUCUCUCUCCG